CAGCCGCCGCGGUAAAACAGAGGAUGCAAGCGUUAUCCGGAAUGAUUGGGCGUAAAGCGUCUGUAGGUGGCUUUUCAAGUCCGCCGUCAAAUCCCCGGGCUCAACCCUGGACAGGCAGUGGAAACUACCAAGCUGGAGUGCGGUAGGGGCAGAGGGAAUUCCCAGUGUAGAGGUGAAAUUCGUAGAUAUUGGGAAGAACACCGGUGGCGAAGGCGGCGACCUGGUCCUUGACUGACGCUGAGGCGCGAAAGCGUGGGGAGCAAACAGGAUUAGAUACCCCCGUAGUCCCUGUCUCUUAUAA
rnacentral:rRNA from 1 species